UAAAACGUGUCACGCAAGUUCAAGUAUACCUACAGUAGGAGUUCAAAAAUCUGAGAAAUGAAGCUCAAACCAAGUUCAAAAAUUGUUUCCUUCAUAAAUUAGUUGUUUUUAGUUAAUUCGUUGUUAUGGACAAUACAAAUACACACUGCUCUGUAGUACAUGUGUGUAUUGUAAUUGUAAUAGUGCUUUGGAGUUCAGAAAAAGGUAACAAUAAAUGUUCAUAGAAGAACCCAAAACAUUCAGUAGUUCUGGAAACCCAAAUUUCAGUUCAACAUGUUUUCUAUCAUCAGCUCAUUAGAACCUCGGAAACGGUUCAAUGUGUGUCUUCAAAAAAAUAGUGUGGCUAUUUAUAUUAAAAAAUGCUACUUUCAUUCGUUUGGUAGCCUUCUUUAAUUACCACUUAAUGUUCAGCCUUUCCAAUUGCAGUUUUCACAUCAGGUGACAUGCCAAAAAAAUCUAACCUCACAACUCAACGCAGGGUCAGACCAGAUGACAGUUUUCAUGAUGUAAUUUAUCAUCAGUUCAUAAAGUAAACACAAAUACAGUUUCAUGUGUGUUAUAGAAAAAACAAUUAGGUUUAUACAUUAUAUAGUAGUUCAAUAUGCAGGGGCUUCGGCAGCAGUUCAACAAAAAAGAUUUUACAUCAGUUCAGACGCUGAUAGUUAUUUAGUUCAAACAUGAUUUUUGAGAAAAUUAUUCCCCAGCUAAGUUCGAAAAUGUCAUCCCGUGAAGUUCAGAUAUUGAUGUUGAUUUCUAUGUAGAAGACAAGUUUAAGGAGCUGACAAUUCUAUAGGGAAUUACAUGCCAAGAAUUUAAAGGGAUGAAAUAACCUUGGUUGUUACUUGACAUUGGUUCUACUAUAACCGAAGCUGCAUGUUGCAAAUUCGGGAUGCAUAAGCUAGCAUAGUUAUGCUUCUGAAGGUUCAACUUUUUCUUGACAAACACACAGCAGAUGUUCUUGUAUUAGUUCAGGUGUUGCCCCUCCGCCUCCUUCUGGUACCCUCAGCGACGCUCCCCGCCACCUUUCAGCGUUGUCCUAGUGGGUGGUCCGACACGGCUGCGUCCAGCGGUCCAACACCGCCACCGGAGGCCGUUCAACGUCCCAGCGCCUCCUUCCUAGUCAUUGUGAGGAGACAAGAGGGAGCGUCAGCACUGAUACAGGGAGAUGCACACCAAACCUGUCGCCCGAGGCCGUUUACCAUUGCAGCGCCCCUUCCCCAGCCAUCAUGAGGUCAACCUCCUGGGAUACACGAAGUUUCAGUUUGUCGAGAGGCUUCCUGGAGUUGCAGAUUGUAUAUCAUGGCAAAGACUAUUUCAAUGGGAGGUUCAACCAGAAGAGUUCAAAACACAAGAACUCUAGGAGUUCGCAGAACAAAAUCUACUGUGAGAGUUUGCACUUGUGUGUGCAGUGCAUGUGUUAGGUGUAUGUUUUUUGUGUAUGAUCUGGACACUGAAGAAAGAAAACACAAGGACUCGGUCCAUGUAUAAUUUUCUACCGUUUUUGCACUAAAAUCUUUGGUCUGAAAUGUAUGAGUUUUGUACAAUAUUUGGCUUUGUAUGUUGUAUCUAUAACAUGUGACUUAUAGCGCCACUGUUUAUCGAAAGAAAAAUCCAG